GCUACUCAAGGUGAAGACAACAAGGAUGAAAACAUUUAUGGGGAUCCACUUCCAUUUAAUGAAUACUUUAGACUUGGUACUUCAAACUGUUUGGGGGAUUCCAGAGCCCACCUUCAUCUGAGCAGAUUCCACCUGAGACUACUGAACAUGGUACAACCUUGAAGACUCAAAGGCAUAAUGAGAAACAUGAUUUCCAGGGUAAUGGAGAUGACUACAGCACGCAGGACUAGUUGACCAAACACAAAAUGACACCUACAUGCUAUAAUUUUUGAAUCUUUGUGUCUGGCUCUUUUUCCAUUGCCAGCCAUCUUGUCAAUUUCUAGAAAGUUCUUGAUCUCCCUUGAAUUAGUUGUUUCUAAUCUGUGGGCUAAGAAACCAGCUAACCAGAUUUAUUAGGAUCAUGUCUAAAAUGGGAGAUGGUUGCUGAAUGACAAAGUAAGAAGAUGGAAAUAAAGUACAUG